rnacentral:lncRNA from 1 species
GAACUGUGUAACGAAUGGCUUGCUCUUGUCUACCGGUUCAGCCACCUUAACAGCGCUUGGGUUUUUUCCGCUGGGUGUGUCGUGAAAAUAAAACUGAAGGUUUGUUUGUGUUUCUUGGUUCUUUUUCAGAAAACUUUUACCCCAAUUCCCUGCUUUUAGUUUCAGGCUUUGAAUCGGUGGUGGAAGAAUAACACUCAGUAUAAGCAUCAUCAACACCAUCCCAUUUUGCUUAGACAUCUUGGAAGUAUCUUUGCAGGGUUGUGUUGCGUUGUGCUGUGGAUUUGGUUUCUUCUAUGUGUGUGUGGGUGUAUAUAAAUAGAAUAGUUCUCGUUUGAAAUUUCAUUUUUUUUUUCUUGUGGAGUUAGUCAUUUGUGUGGUUUAACUUUUACAACAACAUUACUCUAAUAAGUCCACUAGAGCAUGUUAGCUAAUUUCUUUCAUAGAUGUACUGGGGUAGUUGAACUGCUUUUAGCAACCAGACAAAGGUUAAAGUUUUUCGUACCAUGUCCAUAACUCACUUUAUUCAAGAGAUGAGAUUUGGUUCUAUUAUGGAGAGUAAAGUUGUAACCAGUCAAAAAAAGUUGGUGUAGUGGGGGCUUGUUCUUUCAUGAUUAGAUGCUUCUAGUUGCACAGCCACAAGCUUUGGUAAAAAUAGAAUAAUUGAAUAUAACAUAUUUGUCAAUGUGUGACACAACACACCGAGAUAAUUUUAAUGUGAAGUGUGAGUGUUAUAAAAAAAAAUCUUAUCUUUUUAAAAUUUUUUUUUUUUUAAACUUCUGAUUAAUUAUGUCAGAGGUAUCUUAUGCAUAAUAGGGAUAAUUCACAUAUUUGGAUAAAAUUUGGAAACAUAUGUGAAAAUAUUAUAAUUAACAUGAAGCCUAGAUUUCAAAAGUAUAUACAUAAAAUACUUGCUAAAAUAGUGUUGAUGAUGUUGAAUUCUAUAAUCUCAGCUAGAGAUCUCACUGGAGAAUAAGGGAGCGAUAUUUGUGGUUGAACAGUUUAAUUUUUGAAAGUAAGAUAGUCACUUCAGCACUAUGGAAUGGGUACAAAAUGAUGCUUAAAUCUUUUACUUUUAAAUUGUUGGAAUUAAACUCAAAAUUUUGAUUAAUUUUGGACCAAUUUUGAUGAAUAAGAUUCAAUCAAUCGAUCAAAUUCUCUCUUCUUCUUCAUUCUUCACUCGAGUGAAUUAACUACUAUUGGUUGUAAGAUUGUAUCGCUGCACAAUGAUGACGAAAACAAGAAAAAAAAUUGAAUUGGGGAAGAAAGGGAAUUAGGAUUUUUAUCGAGAGGGGGGAAGAAGAUGAAUUGUCUCUACAGAAUAGCUUUCUGCUCUCAAACUGCGAUUUAUUCUUUGCAACUGCAAGUUCAAGUGUUUACGAUAAUAGGGGUUACUCCAUAUUUAUAGAUUUGGAUUUGCAUGCUCCCCAAGCAAGACCCAAAACUAACCUAACUAACUCAGUUAAGCAAACAAAUAAAGUUAAGUCUAACAUCACCGUUGAGAUACUCUUCGACAUUUCGACACCUAGAUGAUUCAACACUUCCUUACUUCUGUCGAGCAACCUAUUUCGACACGAGGAAUUGUAAAGACAAAGUGUCAUACAACAUACGAUAUCAAGUUUCGAUGAUGACAAAAGACCAUCAUGCACAUCUACGAACAAAUGCAACACAUUACCCACAAUAUCCUUUUCCACGUAUUCUUAAAAUCUACCAUAAUCAUUAAAAACAUGUAGACAAAGUGUGAUCAUGACUAAAUACAUAAAGAAUCACUAAUCACAGUUUCUUGCAGAUUUGAAUGCUUUGAGUCGACCAUAGGGGUCAGCUCAAAGCUCACGGGUCAGCGCAAAGCUCUGCCUAAACUAAAGGGAGUCAGCGCAAAGCUGCAUGCGUCGACGCAUAGGGUCAGCGCAUAGCUCACGGGUCGGCGCAUAAACCCCUUGAGUCGACCACACGUUGGCGCAUGGCAAAAUGAUGUUAUCCACGGGUCAGCGCAUGAAACGUUUGAGUCGACGCAUAGGGUCGACGCAUGCCCCACGGGUCAGCACACGCCGACCUAUGGUCGACCGCUCGCGCGCCAAUCUCAGUUUUCUGAGUUAUUUCAAAUUUUUGAAAUACUGUUAUGUUUGUUUGAUUUUGUCUGUUACUAUAUAUAAUAGAAGUCAAAACACUUCUAUUAAUAACAUUUGCUAUUUUGAGUUCAAGUGUUCAAGGAAACAGAGAGUGAAAAAGUUGUCAAAGAUUCAUCAUCUUCAUCUUCAACAGUCCACAAUACAUCAACUGCACACAAUAACUUUUGAUGUGAUUCGUGUAACUUGAAGGUGAUAAGGUUCGAAGUUGCGAUUGAAGAAUCGGGUUCGAGUUGAAGUCUUGGCAGGUUCUUUCUUGAAUAAAACCAUUAGGUUUUAUUUCCCCAAUACAAGUUUGCGUUUUGGGGGUUUUUGGACGAAUCGCUUCAUCAAUAUUCAGCCGAGCGAAGGUGAUUGAGAAGAGGAAGUCUUCGUCAGUCUAGUAGCGGAUUCGGUGGCAUUGAAGUGAAGGAUUCGGGUUCGACUCGUUGUGUUUGAGAUCAGCCGGGCCCGAGGGUUUGAAGAACGAAGAUUUCUCAACAAGGGGCUGGAAUCGGAGGUCUAGCACAAACGAUCGAAGGUCUUGAUUCAUCUUGAAUCAAGGAGCAAGGAUAGGAAGCAUCAUUCAACACAUUGAAAAUUCUGUGUUUACUUGCUUUGCAUCCUUGUAUAAACGGUUAAAGUCCACAGGUGAUAUUUAAUUAAAUCAUCUCAAUUCUAUUUUUAGAAUUGAGGGCAGACGUACCCCGAAGCGAGGACGGCGGGGGAACUGCCUCACCAAAUCUCUGUCUCCUUUAACUUUCUCGCAUAAUCUGUUUUUCAGCUUAAAGUUUAAGUGAUUUUAGCUUAAGCAAUUUUUCAACAACUUUGAUAUAAGUUGAGUAAGUGAUUAAAACAGAUGUUGGAAUACUAAGUACAUAGCAUUUGUACUAGGAUAAUUGACUUACUUACUCAACUCAAAUAUCACUUGGAGUGCUUAUGCACACCAAGUGUUUGUAAAAUUGCCUAAGCCAAAGUUGCCUUAAGUUUGCACUGAGUUUUAAUCUGGUAUUUUGGUUCAUUGGAACUAGGCUUGCUAGUGAGUGAACUCUAUCACUGAUUGUGCAACUAGUGUAGUGAAUUGUAUCUCGUUUUAUCUCUUAUCCAUUAGCUUAACGCAUAUCCGGUUUUCCAAUAACGGUUCGUUUUUAGACUAAAUUUUCCUCGGUCGCUUCCGCACCUAAAACAAUUUUAAAACCAAUUUUUCUUUUAAAUUGGUAGCGCCGACUCAAGUUUUUAACUGGGAUUAUUCAACCCCCCCCCCCCUUCUAGAUUCGUGCCAUAGUCUAACAGGAAUUAUAAUUCAACACACCAUCCAAUUCAUUGUGUCUAAGCUAUCUACAUUCAUCAUAGAUCUUAACUUCUUAAAUACUUCGACCUGCACUCCUUUCGUCAUGAUGUCUGCAAUCUGAUUCUCAGUUCUGCAUUGCUCAAAGUUCAGCUUCACUUCUGCUACUUGCUCUCGAAGAUAAUAGAACCUCAUUUCGAUGUGUUUGCUUCAUCCAUGUGCUAUCGAAUUCUUUGCCAGAUUGAUAGCAGACAUGUUGUUUAUCUUCAUGGUAAUUACUCCAUGAUUCUUCUUUGUGAUCUCUUCGACCAGAUUCACCAUCCACGUUACUUGACAUGCACAAAGAGAAGCAGUUAUGUACUCUGCUUCACACGACGACAAUGCCACUAUUGGUUCCUUUCUCGAACUCCAAGCAACUGGUGCACCACCUAGCAUAAACACAUAGCCAAUUCUGGAUUUUCUAUCCACAACAUCACUACACCAACUUGAGUCGGUGUAUCCCACUAAUUUGCAUUAUUUUCCUUCAUCAGCUAUGGGAAAUAAAAUUCCAUAGUCGAGAGUUCCUUUCAGAUACCUUAGUAUCCUCUUCGUCGCUGCUAGAUGUGAUACCUUUGACUUCUGCAUGAAUCUAGUUACCAUACCUACACUGUAUGUUAGAUCAUGUCUUGUGUGACAAAGGUAUCGAAGUGAUCCAAUGAGUCUUCUGUACUGAGUUGGAUCGACAUCAUCUUCAUCCGUGUCUUUCGACAGUUGCAAUUUGGGUUCAGCUGGAGUUGAAGUUGGGUUGCAAUCUUGCAUCUCAAAUCUUUUGAAUAUUUCACCUGCAUAUCUUCUUUGGUACAUCAUCAAGCCUCUACCACUCUUGUAGAAUUUAAUGCCAAGGAAAUAUGAGAGAUUUUCCUAGUCUGAUAUUUCAAACUCCUUACUUAGGUCGUGUUUGAAAUUUUCGACCUCCUUCUUGCAACUUCCUGUUAUUAACAUGUCAUCGACAUAGAGACAUAGUAUAAAAAAAUUCACUAUUGCUUCUUCUUACAUAUACUUCAUGCUAAAUUGUGCUAUUCACAAAUUCUAUUUGAAGCAAUUCAUACAUUCUUUUGUGAGUUUGUAACCUCACCUCCUUCACUUUCUCAAUGCCUCCAAAUGAUUUCUCCAAGAUGUCUCAUGCUUCCUUCGCUGAAUCUACAUCACCAACUUUCUUAAAGUUGUCUGGAUUAACACAUUGAUGGAUUAAAAAGAGAGUCUUGUAUUCUUUCUUCUUUAAGUGUUUGUGUGCAGCCUUUUGUUCAUCCGUAUCAUUCUCUCCAAUUGGUGUUACUUCAUUAUUCACAAGAUCCCAAAGAUCUUGAUAAUAGAAAACAACUUUCGUUUGCUUACACCAAUUUUUAUAAUUCUUACAAUUUAAGAUUGGAAGAUUCGCUAGAAAAUGCCAGUUCGGAUGAUUCAUUGUGAUUAAAUGCGUCUCAAAAAUCACACAAUCAGUGCUCUAGAUACCAGAUGUUAAGAAAACUCAAAUCUUGAAGUUAACCGAAUCAAUCUUAAUGAACAAGAAUCAAUAUUUCUGAUUGAUCACAUCUCUUGUUCUUCACCAUUUACUCAGGUGAAACAACUACUCAUUGUUUGGAAGAUGAUUCUACACUACACAGAGAAUUGAAAUAAGAAAACUAUACAAUUGAAAUUGAGAGAAAAGAGAAAUUCUAGAAUAAGAAGAAGAAUGUAUUUAUGUGCAAACUGCAAUCUAAAUGUUUGUUACAAUGUGUAAUAAUCACGACUGUGAUUUUUGAAACUACACAAUACUACUACAAUCCUUAUUACAAAAACUUCAUACACUUACAAAUAAAAUACACAUCCUCUUUAUUUAUAGAUGAAAUUACUUGCACUCCAAGUAUUACAAAAUAACUAACUCAACUAAAAUUAAAUUAAAUCAAUUUUCUUCGACAUUAUUGACUCAUUUAACAAAUGCAUGUUUCAAUAAAGUGUAUUUGACUUUCAAUCAAAUACAAUUAACACAUACUCUUCUACACCCAUCAAAUACAAAUUCGUAAGAAAUACAUAUUUCAUAUAACCAAACAAAAUUAUAGUAAAAGAUGAAACUGGAUCAUGUGUGCAUAUUAUAGAAGGGUAAACAAAUCUAUAAACUACAUAGUGAUUUAUUUAUAUAAAAAAUGAAAAACGGUUAACUAACUCUAAUGAACGAGUGUGACAUUGUAGCCAACAAUAGCAUCGCCAGUGGUCAAAUUAUACAUAUGAGUCUUAGCAAUGGCGUAACCCCUUGCCAUACGAAAAAGCCCAGUGCCACCAACAACCGGCAUCUCACGAACCGGGUUCAUGACAGAGUUCUUCCCAACAAGAGCAAACGUGCUACCAUUAUACGGCCCAUCAACAAACGAGUAGCUCAGGGACAUAAGAAGCCCGGGCUCCUGCUGACACGACGACGCGUAAAUACCUUGGGCCCGGCCGACGAGCUUGGACUUCGGGUCAGAUGUUUCUGUUAACGGGUCAUCCGCCAUCCAGAUGCUUCCGAACUGUGUAACGAAUGGCUUGCUCUUGUCUACCGGUUCAGCUACCUUAACAACGCUUGGGUUUUUUCCGCUGACAGUGUCGUGGAAAUAAAACUGAAGGUUUGUUUGUGUUUCUUGGUUCUUUUUUAGAAAACUUUUACCCCAGGUUCCUGCUUUUAGUUUCAGGCUUUGAAUCGAUGGUGGAAGAAUAACACUCAGUAUAAGCAUCAUCGCCACCAGCACAUUUUGCUUAUACAUCUUGGAA